rnacentral:rRNA from 1 species
UACAGAGGGGGCAAGCGUUGUCCGGAAUUAUUGGGCGUAAAGAGCUCGUAGGCGGUUCGUCACGUCGGCUGUGAAAACCUGAGGCUCAACCUCAGGCCUGCAGUCGAUACGGGCGGACUCGAGUUCGGCAGGGGAGACUGGAAUUCCUGGUGUAGCGGUGAAAUGCGCAGAUAUCAGGAGGAACACCGGUGGCGAAGGCGGGUCUCUGGGCCGAUAUCGACGCUGAGGAGCGAAAGCGUGGGGAGCGAACAGG